rnacentral:lncRNA from 1 species
GCAUAAUACCCAUGUCUUGAAAGACAAAGAAAUAGUGAAUGGAGAUCCAGAUUCAGAGACUGAAGACUUGAUUGUCCAGAUUGCUGAUCGUCUCCCAGAUGAUUGUGCUGGCUUCAGCUUUUGCCUUUUUAUAAUCUAAUAUCCACGAAGAAGUCAGAAUGGCCUUUGCAAAACGAAAAUCUGAUGAUGUUACUCCCGCACUAAUUAAGUUCCUCCUGCUUCAACUCUCACAUACCCUUGCAUAAAGUCUAAAGGCUUAAUACAGGUUAGAAAUCCCUUUGGGAACCCUGUGCUCUGAACCACUGUGGCAUGACUCCCCGCAGCUAGUGAGGUGCCCCUGUUACAUGUUGCACAUUCCCUGCGAGAGGACUUACCCCAUUGACUGUCUUUGCUCAGUGCUGUAACAGUCAUCUCCCUAAUGACUGUAGAUUUUGUGAGAGCUGGAGCCACAUUUCCCUUUAUUCAUCUUUGAAUUACUUGCAUCUAGCACCAUUAACAUGUAGUAGAUGCUCAACACAUAAUUGUUGAAUAAAGUAAUGAAUAAAUGAACAAAUACCAUUAAUUACUAGUUACCACUGUUAACUAGCCAUAGUGAUUUUUAUUCUUGUCA